rnacentral:rRNA from 1 species
GCCUAAUACAUGCAAGUCGAACGGCAGCACAGUGGAGCUUGCUCCAUGGGUGGCGAGUGGCGGACGGGUGAGGAAUACAUGGGAAUCUGCCCAGUCGUGGGGGAUAACGUAGGGAAACUUACGCUAAUACCGCAUGCGCCCUUCGGGGGAAAGCCGGGGACCUUCGGGCCUGGCGCGAUUGGAUGAGCCCAUGUCGGAUUAGCUAGUUGGCGGGGUAACGGCCCACCAAGGCGACGAUCCGUAGCUGGUCUGAGAGGAUGAUCAGCCACACUGGAACUGAGACACGGUCCAGACUCCUACGGGAGGCAGCAGUAGGGAAUAUUGGACAAUGGGCGCAAGCCUGAUCCAGCCAUGCCGCGUGAGUGAAGAAGGCCCUCGGGUUGUAAAGCUCUUUUGUCCGGAAAGAAAAGCAUCGGGUUAAUACCCCGGUGUUCUGACGGUACCGGAAGAAUAAGCACCGGCUAACUUCGUGCCAGCAGCCGCGGUAAUACGAAGGGUGCAAGCGUUACUCGGAAUUACUGGGCGUAAAGCGUGCGUAGGUGGUUCGUUAAGUCCGAUGUGAAAGCCCUGGGCUCAACCUGGGAAUGGCAUUGGAUACUGGCGGGCUAGAGUGCGGUAGAGGAUAGUGGAAUUCCUGGUGUAGCAGUGAAAUGCGUAGAGAUCAGGAGGAACAUCCGUGGCGAAGGCGACUGUCUGGACCAGCACUACACUAGCACAAAGCGA